GCCGGGCUUGGUGGCGGGCGCCUGUAAUCCCAGCUACUAGGGAGGCUGAGGCAGGGAGAAUUGCUUGAACCCGGGAGGCAGAGGUUGCAGUGAGUUGAGAUGGUGCCACUACACUCCAGCCUGGGUGCGAUAGCUAGACUCAAUCUCGAUUUUUUUUUUUUUUGAGACGGAGUCCUGUUCUGUCGCCCAGAGUGGAGUGCAAUAGUGUGAUCUCGGCUCACUGCAACCUCCGACUCCUGGGUUCAAGCGAUUCUCUUGCCU
rnacentral:lncRNA from 10 species